GGGGAAUAUUGCACAAUGGGCGAAAGCCUGAUGCAGCAACGCCGCGUGAGUGAUGAAGGCCUUCGGGUCGUAAAGCUCUGUCUUCGGGGACGAUAAUGACGGUACCCUGAGAACAAGCCACGGCUAACUACGUGCCAGCAGCCGCGGUAAAACGUAGGUGGCUAGCGUUGUCCGGAAUUACUGGGCGUAAAGGGCGUGUAGGCGGGGGUGCAAGUCAGGUGUGAAAUACCGCGGCUCAACCGCGGGGGUGCAUCUGAAACUGCAUCUCUUGAGUGCCGGAGAGGAAAGCGGAAUUCCCAGUGUAGCGGUGAAAUGCGUAGAGAUUGGGAGGAACACCAGUGGCGAAGGCGGCUUUCUGGACGGCAACUGACGCUGAGGCGCGAAAGCGUGGGUAUCAAACAGGA
rnacentral:rRNA from 1 species